CAGUAGCCGCGGUAAUACGUAGGUGGCAAGCGUUGUCCGGAAUUAUUGGGCGUAAAGGGCUCGCAGGCGGUUUCUUAAGUCUGAUGUGAAAGCCCCCGGCUCAACCGGGGAGGGUCAUUGGAAACUGGGAAACUUGAGUGCAGAAGAGGAGAGUGGAAUUCCACGUGUAGCGGUGAAAUGCGUAGAAAUGUGGAGGAACACCAGUGGCGAAGGCGACUCUCUGGUCUGUAACUGACGCUGAGGAGCGAAAGCGUGGGGAGCGAACAGGAUUAGAUACCCGGGUAGUCCCUGUCUCUUAUAC
rnacentral:rRNA from 1 species